UUAGACUCAUUAUAGACAUCUGGGGUCUGUUUCAGAAAGCGGGUUUAGAAAACUCAGAGUUAAAAAUGAUACUCAGGGUUGAGUAACCCCGAACUGUCCAACUCGGAAUAUUCGGUUUCAGAAAGGCUGAUAACAAUUAGUUCAAUCAACGCGGAGUUGCUUUAACCCCAAGUUAAGUGCGCGCACGAGGAUACAUAAAGCCCUGAUUAGUGGAGCACAGAUUAAGCAAGUCACCAUGGAGACGGAGGGAAAGAAGGCGCGGUCAAUGUAUUUUACAGCGCUUGAGGCAGAAAUUCUGAUGACAGUCACCUUUGCAGUGCUACUCAUUCAUUUAAUAAACUCUUUACCAUAAUGAAUUAUUUUGUAGUGAAGUUAUUUUCCUACUGAUUUUGCCUUCCCUCAGUCUUGGUUGUCUUUGAGAGCAUAAUGACAAUGAAGUGUAAGGUGAUUGGUAUAUGUUUGUUAAUUGCCAUUUGGUCCCUUGUAAGUUAUAAGUGACCUGUAUAAACCUCAUAUUCUAUCAGAUGGUGAUGGUGUACUGCAUCUGGUGCAGCCUCCUGUUGAGCCAGACCAACAUGCAGUUGAAAAUAAUGAAGAAACAUUGACAGCUGUUACAGAGGAGGAAGCAACAGAGACACUUUAUGAGAGUGAUGAUGGAAAUGCAGAGGAAGAGGGU